GGGGUUGUGGCUCAGCGGUAGAGCGCUUGCCUGGCAUGUGCAAGGCCCAGGGUUCAAUCCUCAGCAUCA
rfam:Ictidomys tridecemlineatus contig088986, whole genome shotgun sequence.